AGGUCCAGAACCACCCUUUUUAUUUGAUAUAAAUAUGAGAGAAUGCAGCUUCUGUCUCAUCCAUAAGCUUGCAUUUUUCACAAGAGAUCUUUUAAAGAAGGCAUUUUUUUGCUACCUGCAUCAUCAGUUCCUUGUUAAGAACAAGAUCAUGUCAUACCUGGCCAAUGUUGUUGAAGUUGGUGGAACUGGAGGAGCUCCUUUCAAUUUUAAUGACACUCAAAAUGGAUCCAUAUUGCAAAAGAUCUAUGUUUGGGUCUGUGAAUAUACGGUGAAAGCCAUUAAAGUGUGUCUUACUGAUGGCCAGUCCAAACAGUUUGGUAUUCCUGCUGGGAAUCUGCAAGAGUUUACAUUUUUAGAUGGAGAGCAUUUCACCUCCCUUUCACUUUGGCCAAAUGAAAAUAAUACACGUCUGGGUGCGAUAAAAUUCACGACAAGUCACUCCCGGGAUUUCUAUGCAAGCUUGACAAAUCAGAGGCUGCAACCAGAAGUUAAAGUUGAUAUUGCCUCUGGGAUCUGCAUGGGAAUCAAAGGAUGUUCAGGGAGUGAUGUGGAUCGCUUAGGCUUUAAGUUUGUCAAGAAUUUUUAAAAUUAGUAAAAGUUUUAAAAGCAGUGGAACCUACAAUGGUGUCGCGUACACUGUUGGAAAUGUGGUUGUCAAUUAAUCAAACAUCUUAAUCAAUCUCAUAUAUUAAAUCAUUUUAAUCAAUAAUGUUUCUGUUUGAAGUUAGCUUAGUUUGUUUGUUUUAAUAUUAGCUUCUCAUAAUAGUGAUUCUUUUUUUUUUCUUUCAAAUCUGUUAACCAAUGAUUUGAUUUAUUUUGCUGGUUCAGACAAUUUAUUCUGUUAGUCUACCAGUGGUGCAAGACUAAGACACAGUUUAGAUUAAUUAAACGUUAUUUACAAAUAAUUCUGAGUAAUGAACAAAACAUCUCAUUUGGUGAUUUUUAGAUCUAAUUUGACUCAUAUGGAAUGCUAUAUGGAACAAUUUGAUUAUUUUCUUUUGACAUGUUCUGUCAGGAUUGUUGCAUUUUGCACGCUUUUGCCACGUACUUUUGUUCUGUGUCACGUGUCUUCCCCGCCCUUGUCUCUUCUCCACCACCUCUGCACACCUGUUCCUCAUGUGUUAAUUGUGUUGUGUAUUAAACCAUGCCACGUUGCCUAGGUCGGCGUGAAAUCCCCUUCCUUUGUCAUGUCAUUUGUCAAGUAUUUGUCCCUGUUUGGUGUUUUUCAAGUUAAUAACCCUGUUUAUUUUUAUCCCCACGUCACUGACAUAUUCAGAAGAUUAUAAUUUGUUAUGAAUUCCAUCAGUAAAAUCAGUCUCAAUUGAAACUGAGCACCUGACUUGUUUUUUCUUUUGUAUAUUUAUGUAUUAUUCAAGAUUCUUCCUGAGCACUAACACUAAAAAGUUUUCCUGUUAGAGUUUGAAAAUCAACAGGUCUGUUCUGAAUCCCAGUCUUCCCAGUAAAUUGUUUCUAUAUGCUGGAGUAAACAACCACUCAUACACUACUUGAGCACAUUUAAACUAAUUCAUGUGAUUA